CCUGGUGUACGAAUAUACAGUUCGUAACAGUCUGAACGCCAUCGACCUAGAGUUUUAAUUAACCAUGGUGGUAAGUUCGCUGCCGCAGCAGUUGUAGCUGCUCCGAUUCUAAAACUAUGCGGAGCGUAUUCGUUUUCUAUAUAGCUUAAAAUAUUCAAGAGUUCUCUUAGAUUAGCACUAAGUAUAGUUCUGGUGAGUGGUUCACCGUUCUGCAGCAUAAAUAACGGUUCAUCAGUAUUUGUUGGGUUUCGUUGCAGUAGAUACUCCCGUAAGGCGAUGACAGCACACACUGACGAGUGACUUUUUGCAAUAGCCAGAGUUGUUCCUUGGCGAAACGGAUCGGUUUUCGAUUGCUUUAUGCGUACGUGUAGAGAUUCGGGAUUUUUGAUGGUAGGAUUAAAAGCAACGUCUUUAACGGCGAGAAAAGUCUUUGUGCUUGAGUAGGUAAAUUCGCUAACUCGUAAGAAACCGAAGAAGGCCAAUGUAAAGGCCGCCCAGAGCAUGACAGUAUCAAGUUCAUUUGAAAAAUCUGGACGUAACAACGUUGAAAUUUCUGCCAGAAUUUGUAUGGUUAUGGGGCGACGGAUACGUUGGAGUAGAAGUUGGUGAUUGCAGAAAGGUAUAACUUGGCGGUUGAGUACUGGACUUUACCGUGAAGCGAGGCGACGAAAUACACUAGAUUUUCUUCGGUUGGGGAUGGAAGAGGGUUGUCUUUUGUAGCGAGGUUAUGAACAAAGCAGAAAUCCAAAUAUUGGCGAACUCCAGUUGAAUAUGUUGUUCGUGUUGAGGAAGAGAUUGCUUGGCCGAGCAGCGAGUUGACUCGUUGGGUUAAACUUGGAUCAAGGAUUCGGGAAUGGCGGUAGGUUCUGGUAAGGCUGUGGGAGCUAGUUGGUGGAAACGUUGCAUCUGAAACCGGGAUAAUGCAUCAGAGACUGAAUUGUUUACACCUGGGACAUGUUUGGCGUUUAGUGUGAAAUUAUGAGUAAGUGUUUGAACUGUAAUUUUUCGUACUAGAUCCAUAAUUUUAUUAACUUUAGAUGAUUUUGUGUUGAGAAUUUGAGUAACUGAAACAUUAUCGCACCAAAGUAGAAUCCGUUUACCCGACCAUAAAUUGCCCCAAACUGA